AACGAUGAGUGCUAGGUGUCGGGUAGAAAUAUUCGGUGCCGCAGCUAACGCAAUAAGCACUCCGCCUGGGGAGUACGUACGCAAGUAUGAAACUCAAAGGAAUUGACGGGGACCCGCACAAGCAGCGGAGCAUGUGGUUUAAUUCGAAGCAACGCGAAGAACCUUACCAGGGCUUGACAUGCCUCUGACGUUACUAGAGAUAGUAAUUUAUCCUUCGGGAUACAGAGGACACAGGUGGUGCAUGGUUGUCGUCAGCUCGUGUCGUGAGAUGUUGGGUUAAGUCCCGCAACGAGCGCAACCCUUGUAUUUAGUUGCCAGCAUUAAGUUGGGCACUCUAGAUAGACUGCCGUGGACAACACGGAGGAAGGUGGGGAUGACGUCAAAUCAUCAUGCCCUUUAUGUCCUGGGCUACACACGUGCUACAAUGGUCGGUACAACGAGCAGCAAGCUAGUGAUAGCAAGCGAAUCUCUAAAAGCCGAUCCCAGUUCGGAUUGUAGGCUGCAACUCGCCUACAUGAAGUCGGAGUUGCUAGUAAUCGCGAAUCAGCAUGUCGCGGUGAAUGCGUUCCCGGGUCUUGUACACACCGCCCGUCACACCAUGGGAGUUGUCAAUACCCGAAGCCAGUGAGCUAACCAGAAAUGGAGGCAGCUGUCGAAGGUAGGGGCGAUGACUGGGGUGAAGUCGUAACAAGGUAGCCGUAUCGGAAGGUGCGGCUG
rnacentral:rRNA from 1 species